CCCUACGGCCCUGGUCUGAAACCCUAUUCCAACAGGUCCCUACGGCCCUGGUCUGAAACCCUAUUCCAACAGGUCCCUACGGCCCUGGUCUGAAACCCUAUUCCAAUAGGUCCCUACGGCCCUGGUCUGAAACCCUAUUCCAACAGGUCCCUACGGCCCUGGUCUGAAACCCUAUUCCAACAGGUCCCUACGGCCCUGGUCUGAAACCCUAUUCCAAUAGGUCCCUACGGCCCUGGUCUAAAGUAGUGCACUGGGCCCUGGUCUAAAGUAGUGCACUGGGUAUUGGGACAGAGAGGCCAGUCAUCAGGUUGGGUAUUGGGACAGAGAGGCCAGUCAUCAGGUUGGGUAUUGGGACAGAGAGGCCAGUCAUCAGGUUGGGUAUUGGGACAGAGAGGCCAGUCAUCAGGUUGGGUAUUGGGACAGAGAGGCCAGUCAUCAGGUUGGGUAUUGGGACAGAGAGGCCAGUCAUCAGGUUGGGUAUUGGGACAGAGAGGCCAGUCAUCAGGUUGGGUAUUGGGACAGAGAGGCCAGUCAUCAGGUUGGGUAUUGGGACAGAGAGGCCAGUCAUCAGGUUGGGUAUUGGGACAGAGAGGUCAGUCAUCAGGUUGGGUAAUGGGACAGAGAGGCCAGUCAUCAGGUCGGGUAAUGGGACAGAGAGGUCAGUCAUCAGGUUGGGUAUUGGGACAGAGAGGUCAGUCAUCAGGUUGAGUAUUGGGACAGAGAGGCCAGUCAUCAGGUUGGGUAUUGGGACAGAGAGGCCAGUCAUCAGGUUGGGUAUUGGGACAGAGAGGCCAGUCAUCAGGUUGGGUAAUGGGACAGGGAGGCCAGUCAUCAGGUUGGGUAAUGGGACAGAGAGGCCAGUCAUCAGGUUUGCUAUACCAGAUACCAGUGUAUCUGCAGAGUGUAAACUGUAGAACAAACCGCAAUGGUAAAGAAACCCA